GUUAGAUACAGUUUCCAAAAUUAUCAUAUUUCUCAGUGGUUACGUGCGGUAAUAAAAAUCUUAACGACCAAGAAGAUCCAAUCUUAGGAGGUCAAUACAACAGGUGCUAAUUGAAGACCUCCCAAUAUAACAUUCUAAAGAUGAAAAUGUGUUUGCUGCAUUUCCUCGACAUCGAUAUUCCGAAGAAACCUGGCAGUAGUUUCAAUAAAUGGAUGGUCAGCCACCUUUCUAUCUGAAUCCAAUGCUUCUAGUCGGACCACAUGGUUAUUUAUUUCUACUGAAAAUCUUAUAUUCCGAGACACUGAAUAUGCUAUACAUAAAGCGAUAAGAAACGAAAUAUUAUACGAUAGCAUAAACACUUAUUGUUAUAAAAUUCUUAACAUUAAAAAUUUUUAGAAAAUGCAAACUAUAAAUUUAUAUUUUAUGUCUUCCGUGCACAACAAAGUUUAUAUUUCUAAGGAAAUGAAACAGUACCAUAUAACUUGAAUAAAAUGUCUUUUGUUGUAUAGAA